UCCAAGUCCACGGGUCUUACAUUUGAUUGC
rnacentral:piRNA from 1 species